UACGAAGGGGGCUAGCGUUGCUCGGAAUGACUGGGCGUAAAGGGCGCGUAGGCGGACAGCAUAGUCAGGCGUGAAAUUCCUGGGCUCAACCUGGGGGCUGCGCUUGAUACGUGCUGUCUUGAGUGGGGAAGAGGGUCGUGGAAUUCCCAGUGUAGAGGUGAAAUUCGUAGAUAUUGGGAAGAACACCGGUGGCGAAGGCGGCGACCUGGUCCUUGACUGACGCUGAGGCGCGAAAGCGUGGGGAGCAAACAGG
rnacentral:rRNA from 1 species